rnacentral:rRNA from 1 species
AUUGAACGCUGGCGGCAGGCCUAACACAUGCAAGUCGAGCGGAUGAAGGGAGCUUGCUCCUGGAUUCAGCGGCGGACGGGUGAGUAAUGCAUAGGAAUCUGCCUGGUAGUGGGGGAUAACGUCCGGAAACGGGCGCUAAUACCGCAUACGUCCUGAGGGAGAAAGUGGGGGAUCUUUGGACCUCACGCUAUCAGAUGAGCCUAGGUCGGAUUAGCUAGUUGGUGGGGUAAAGGCCUACCAAGGCGACGAUCCGUAACUGGUCUGAGAGGAUGAUCAGUCACACUGGAACUGAGACACGGUCCAGACUCCUACGGGAGGCAGCAGUGGGGAAUAUUGGACAAUGGGCGAAAGCCUGAUCCAGCCAUGCCGCGUGUGUGAAGAAGGUCUUCGGAUUGUAAAGCACUUUAAGUUGGGAGGAAGGGCAGUAAGUUAAUACCUUGCUGUUUUGACGUUACCAACAGAAUAAGCACCGGCUAACUUCGUG